GAAAUGCGAUAAGUAAUGUGAAUUGCAGAAUCCAGUGAAUCAUCGAACCUUUGAACGCACCUUGCGCCCCUCGGUAUUCCGAGGAGCAUGCCUGUUUGAGCGUCGCGG
rnacentral:rRNA from 1 species